rfam:Cephalotus follicularis DNA, scaffold: scaffold739, isolate: St1.
CCGCAUGAUGGGGGCAUUUCCUGAUAAUGUCCUUUAAUCUUUCACAUGAGUCAUGGAAUUGCUCACCAUCUUGUUGUGAGAAGCUAGUGAGAGCUUGUCUUAUUUG